rnacentral:rRNA from 1 species
UACGGGGGGGGCAAGCGUUGUUCGGAAUUACUGGGCGUAAGGGGCUCGUAGGCGGCCAACUAAGUCGGACGUGAAAUCCCCAGGCUCAACCUGGGAACUGCGUCCGAUACUGGAUGGCUUGAAUCCGGGAGAGGGAUGCAGAAUUCCAGGUGUAGCGGUGAAAUUCGUAGAUAUCGAGAGGAACACCGGUGGCGAAGGCGGCCUUCUGGACAGUGACUGACGCUGAGACGCGAAAGCGUGGGGAGCAAACAGG